rnacentral:lncRNA from 1 species
GGUGUUUUGGUGAUGGUAAUGUGUUUGUAGAUCUUUCUUUACUGAACAUUCUUGUUGCUACAAUUAUCUCUAUCUAUAAUGAACUUGGCCCAUUAAUUACAGUGGAAAAUAUUUCCUAAAAAUUUACAAAAAUUAACAAAAAUUUAUGAAAAUUGUUAACAAUUGACUAUAAAGGGCAAUAACUCCUUAAGGGGUCAAUUGACAAUUUUAGUCAUG